rnacentral:rRNA from 1 species
UACGUAGGGGCGAGCGUUGUCCGGAUUUAUUGGGCGUAAAGAGCGUGUAGGCGGCCAGGUAGGUCUGCUGUGAAACUCGAGGCUCAACCUCGAGACGUCGGCGGAAACCAUCUGGCUAGAGUCCGGAAGAGGAGAGUGGAAGUUCCUGGUGUAGCGGUGAAAUGCGCAGAUAUCAGGAAGAACACCCGUGGCGAAGGCGGCUCCUCUGGGACGGUACUGACGCUGAGACGCGAAAGCGUGGGAGCGAACAGG